GUUUCAGGACCACAGGAAACAUGGAAAUGUGCAAAAUGCACAUGCUGUAAGGCAUCCUUCAAUACUUAAAGCAUGCACUGGUGCCUCCUUCCUGUUGAUGAAAACAUGACCAUAAAGACCUAUGCUUUCCUCAUCUCCAGGCUGGCCUGCUGCAAAUUUACUGCCCAGCUGUGGCAUUGGGUCGUGAAUGUGACUUUUAAAAUACCUCCAUUUUGUCUAGUUUCCCUUUGGGGCAACACAUCCCUGCUAAGAAACUUCUCAUUCCUUUCCUCCUUGUUCCUUGAUCCAUUUCAAAUUUGCUUUAGAAUACCUUUCAGAACUUCCAGAGUUUAAGACAGUAGGAAGGUAAAAAUCUCUGUAUCAGACUUUAAACCAAAGAUCUUGGGUUUUAAUGCCCUGCAGCAAUAGCUAAAAUGGAAUUGGAAGGUCCCAGGGAAAAAAUACCAUAGAUGUGAAGGUGCUAAUUAUUCUUGUGGUUAAAUCCUUAUCCACAGUUUCCAAAUCUCAGAAAUCAGGAUCAGAUCUGUUAUUACUGUUAUUACAUGCAAAAGAUACAAGAAAAGUGCUACUGUUUGAGCAAAACUUUGGUCAGCAUUGCAGUAUCUGAGAAACACUGCAACAUGCAUGGAAAAUAAACUCAUAUAAUGCAGGAGUAAAAGCA
rnacentral:lncRNA from 1 species